CUAAGUUUGAUGGCGACCGGCGCACGGGUGAGUAACACGUAUCCAGCCUGCCGAUGACUCGGGGAUAGCCUUUCGAAAGAAAGAUUAAUACCCGAUGGCAUAGUUCUUCCGCAUGGUAGAACUAUUAAAGAAUUUCGGUCAUCGAUGGGGAUGCGUUCCAUUAGGUUGUUGGCGGGUAACGGCCCACCAAGCCUUCGAUGGAUAGGGGUUCUGAGAGGAAGGUCCCCCACAUUGGAACUGAGACACGGUCCAAACUCCUACGGGAGGCAGCAUG
rnacentral:rRNA from 1 species